UUUCUUCGGAUUCUUAGCUUUUGUAAUUGUUCUGUGUGUAAAGAUGCAUAGAUCAAACAAUGCUUAAUAUGGAGGUGUAUGUGAGCUUCUAUGCAUAAAAAUCAGAGGCUGUGAAAAGAAUCUGUUAGCGCCCCCCCCAUAUAGUUUAGGAAAAUGGCAUCUUUGCAACUGAAUUGGACAACUAUCAUUUUUAGAUAUUUUUUCUUAUUUACAGCAUCUUUUCUUAACCAAUUUGGACAACUGUCAAUCAUAGAUUCUUUUCCUAUUUUUCUCAACCCCUUAACUUCUGAAAUUAACCCCUUUUGACGUCUGAUUUACUGCAUUUUAACCCCUUCCAAACUCUUCUAAAACUUUUUAUCAACUAAAAGAAAGAUUCCAUAAGUUUCUAUCUCAUUUACCCCACUCAAGUUGUAAUUAAUACCAACUAGUGUCUUUACCUCAACCUACUGUCCUCUUUUAUCCCAUAGAAUCAAUAUUACUAAAUAAUAAUUAAUUAAUCUAAAUUAAUAUUAAGCUAUCAAGUACAAAUUAAUAACAAUCAGCAAACUAGUUGACCUAUCAAUUAACCACAUGCGUAAUUAAAACCAUAACCUAAUUAACCGAUUAAACUUUAAGUAGAACUAAAUCAAAUAAAUAUUCAGAAAGCUAAAACAUUUUCAAUUAUUAACCUAAGCAUGCUGUCAAACUAAUAAUUAACACACUAAGACAUAGAAUUAACAACUCUAAGGAAUGAAGAAAAGAAGUAGAGGAUUACCAUGUGAAACACUAUGGACCGAAAAGAAAAGAAUUUCGGACGAUGGCCGGCAUCGCCACACAAGCACUGGCUUAUGCUUGAGAGUGUAACUAAUGUUGUAUGCGACGAUAUUAGCCAUAAUCCGGUCAACAUCAAAGGACUCCCAAUAGUUCUGGCCGGUCAAUAGUGAAUUGACCGGCAACCGACGACCUUGAAACGAGACAAAACCAAUGGCAACUUAUAGCACUCAAUGAGAGAAGUCUAUUGGUGUUGGUUUUAAGCCCAAACAAAACGGGAUUUGAGAAAAAAUCGAAAAGGGGUGGAUUUAUGUUUUAGGAUUUCCUAGAUUUAAAAAUUAAGAGAUUCUGGAGGUUUUCGAAAGAAAUAACGGAGGGAUAUGGGAUGAGAAGGAGGUGGGGAUUGUGGGGUAAAGAUUUUUGGGAGAUUGGGGUUGUUUGAAGCGGCACCGCCAACAAAGGGUCUUGGGGCGGCUAGGGUUUGGGAGGGGAUUUGGGAGAGAUGAGGGAGAUGAGAGUGAAGUAUUUGUUAAGGGUUUGGGGGGGGGGGGGGGGUAUUGGACAGUUAUAAGGGAAAAGGAUAAUUAGUUCGCAA
rnacentral:lncRNA from 1 species